CAAUAGCGUAUAUUAAAGUUGUUGCAGUUAAAAAGCUCGUAGUUGGAUUUCUGAUCGGGACAUCAGGUCGGGUCCGAGAGGAUCAUGUACUUUGAUUUUGUUUUGAUCAUCCUUGGGGAGAGCAUUUCUGGCAUUCAGUUGUCGGGAUUGGGAUCCUCAUCGUUUACUGUGAAAAAAUUAGAGUGUUCAAAGCAGGCCUCGGCCUCUGAAUACAUUAGCAUGGAAUAAUAAGAUAGGACUUUGGUGGUCUAUUUUGUUGGUUUGCACGCCAAAGUAAUGAUUAAUAGGGAUAGUUGGGGGUAUUCGUAUUCAAUUGUCAGAGGUGAAAUUCUUGGAUUUAUGGAAGACGAACUACUGCGAAAGCAUUUACCAAGGAUGUUUUCAUUAA
rnacentral:rRNA from 1 species